rnacentral:rRNA from 1 species
GACGAACGCUGGCGGCGUGCCUAACACAUGCAAGUCGAACGGAGAUAUGAUUUCGGUUGUAUCUUAGUGGCGAACGGUGAGUAACGCGUGAACAACCUGACUCUAAGAGGGGGAUAACACUCGGAAACGGGUGCUAAUACCGCAUAAGACCACGACCUGGCAUCAGGAUGAGGUCAAAGGAGCAAUCCGCUGAGAGAGGGGUUCGCGUCCCAUUAGAUAGAUGGCGGGGUAACGGCCCACCAUGUCAACGAUGGUAGCCGAGCUGAGAGGCUGAUCGGCCACACUGGAACUGAGACACGGUCCAGACUCCUACGGGAGGCAGCAGUGGGGGAUAUUGGGCAAUGGGCGCAAGCCUGACCCAGCAACGCCGCGUGAGGGAAGAAGGCUUUCGGGUUGUAAACCUCUGUCCCUGGUGACGAACAAAUGACGGUAGCCAAGGAGGGAAGCCCCGGCUAACUACGUGCCAGCAGCCGCGGUAAU